rnacentral:rRNA from 1 species
UACAGAGGUCUCAAGCGUUGUUCGGAAUCACUGGGCGUAAAGGGUGCGUAGGCGGGUCUUUAAGUCAGGGGUGAAAUCCUGGAGCUCAACUCCAGAACUGCCUUUGAUACUGAAGAUCUUGAGUUCGGGAGAGGUGAGUGGAACUGCGAGUGUAGAGGUGAAAUUCGUAGAUAUUCGCAAGAACACCAGUGGCGAAGGCGGCUCACUGGCCCGGUACUGACGCUGAGGCACGAAAGCGUGGGGAGCAAACAGG